rnacentral:rRNA from 1 species
UACGGAGGGUGCGAGCGUUGUCCGGAAUCACUGGGCGUAAAGGGCGCGUAGGCGGCGCGACAAGUCAAUGGUGAAAGCCCGAGGCUCAACUUCGGGUCGGCCACUGAUACUGCUGGGCUUGAGCACUGUAGAGGCAGGUGGAAUUCCGGGUGUAGCGGUGGAAUGCGUAGAGAUCCGGAAGAACACCGGUGGCGAAGGCGGCCUGCUGGGCAGUAGCUGACGCUGAGGCGCGACAGCGUGGGGAGCAAACAGG